UACGUAGGUGGCGAGCGUUAUCCGGAUUUACUGGGCGUAAAGCGCUUGGAGGCGGCUUCGUAAGUUGGGCGUGAAAGCUCCGGGCUUAACCCGGAGAGGCCGUCCAAUACUGCGGAGCUCGAGGGUAGCAGAGGAAGGUGGAAUUCCUGGUGUAGCGGUGAAAUGCGUAGAUAUCAGGAGGAACACCCGUGGCGAAGGCGGCUUUCUGGGGCAUUCCUGACGCUGAGAAGCGAAAGCUAGGGGAGCAAACAGG
rnacentral:rRNA from 1 species